rnacentral:lncRNA from 1 species
UAUUUUCUUAUUUUUCAUUUAAUUUCUUUAUUUUGUUUAAUUCAUAUUAAUUUCAUUUUUAAUCCAAAAAAUAUGGGACUUUCACUAAAAGUCUUUAAAUAUUUUAUUCCUCCAUAUUCUGAAUUAAAAUUAUUUUUUGGAUUGAUUUUGAUAUUUUUCAUGAACUAAAUAUUUUUUAUGCAUAUUUUUAAUUGUUUAAAAAUACUUCUGACUUUCAAAAAAUGGUGAAAUUUUUU